UGACAAAACCUUAAACUGCUGCUGCGCCACUCAGCAGGUUGUUGCUAAGUAACCAAAGAAUGAGUAAGUUGCUAGGUUACCAAAGAGUGAGUCUUUCUUAGCUUGCUUUAAGACAGUGUUUCUCAAUUCUGGUCCUCACGCCCUCCUGCCUGGCAUGCUUCAGGUGUUUCCCUGCUGCCACUCACCUGGAUGGAAUAUUGUGGUGAUUAACAGGCUUCUGCAGCACCUGAUGGUCAUGCAAUCAUUUGAAUCAGCUGCUCUGGAGUAGAGGCACAUCUAAAGCAUGCAGAGCAGGGGGGCCUGAGGACUGGAUUGGAGAAGCGCUGCCUUAAGUGGUUGAGCAACUAAAGCCUUUCCUCUGCCUACAUCUCCCAGAAGGCCGUGCGGUUCUGCACCAGGGUUCAGUUUUUCAGAUCCAAAGCUUCAGACAAGCUUCUGAGGAAGGACUUCCUUCUCGUGUUGAGGAACUUCGACAGCUGUCAGCUGCACUUCUGCACAUAAAACAAACAUUUAGCUAAAGCUAGGAUGUAUUUCCUCCUUCUGUUUCAACUCUGCGGUAAGGCAAAGCAAGAACCCCUUUCACUUUUGAACACCUGAUAGGGAUCUGUGCGUUCUACGUUCAGAAACACCCGAAACUGUACGGCUUCCUCCCCUCUGAGCGUGAAGACCACCCUGGUUUAUUUUUAGCUUUUAGCGUGGGCUAGCCCCAAUACAGUCAUGAGUCUGAAAGAGAAUCUUACUCAUUUCUCCUUAGAUCUUUCUCAGAACUACCUGAAGGAAAUGACGGGUCUUCAUGCAUGUCAUCGCUCUGCUGACCUAAAAAUAAAGGCACGUGUGUGUGUGGUGUCUGUGGGCGUGCGUGUGCGUUUGUGUGUGUCUGUGUGUGUAAACUACAAGGUUUUAAGCACAAAAGUGAGUCGUCAGGAGGAAGAGGAUUAUUUGAGUCUUUUGUUUUCAGUAAAGUGAUUUUAUCUGCAAAAGUCUACUCAUUUACAACUUCUGCAACAUUUACAACUUUUGCAGUGCAAAAACAUAAAAUUGAUUGUUUUGGAGCUUGAACUAUGUGUUAGUUUUGGGUAUAAGAAAAAAAAUUAAAGAAGAAUUAGGAUUUUUUUUAGACAAUUCAGACUUGAAAAAUGUUUCUCAUUUCUUUCAAACAAUUCUUGUUUGGUCCCUGCAAGGUUCUGACUUCACCUCUUCACUUCCUCCCUCCCAGAGAUGAACUUCCUCUUCUUGCUCAGCUUUGCUGCGGAGGGGCCGGGGCCCGGCGACCGCUGCUGAGGAAGUGCAGCGCGGGGCGGGAGGCCUUCGCCGGAGGGGGUCCCAGCAGGGAGGAGGAGCCGGAGGAGGCGGAGGGCAGCGGAGCCACGGUGGCCCUGACCCGGCUGCUGGGUCCAAGCUGGCGGUUUGGAGGCUGAAGUGAAACAACACACACAUUGUGUCCAUGUAUGCAGAGGAAACCUCAAAACCAAGAAACACAUUUUUGAUGCAUUUUACACACAUAUUUAUCUAAUUUGUAGCUGUGAAUGGUAAAGUGUUGUUGGACUGAAUUAAGCUGAGUUGAGUUUUAGAUCGUGGAUGUUAGAACCAAGUCUGUCGUAAUAAUCGAAAACAAGCUCAAUAAUUUCCAUUUGCAUGAUUUAUCAUUUUUCUACCAAAAACUGGAUGACAAAGUUG